UUUGAGAUUUGAUCCUGGCUCAGAUUGAACGCUGGCGGCAUGCCUUACACAUGCAAGUCGAACGGCAGCACGGGCUUCGGCCUGGUGGCGAGUGGCGAACGGGUGAGUAAUACAUCGGAACGUGCCCUGUCGUGGGGGAUAACUAGUCGAAAGAUUAGCUAAUACCGCAUACGACCUGAGGGUGAAAGCGGGGGACCGCAAGGCCUCGCGCGACAGGAGCGGCCGAUGUCUGAUUAGCUAGUUGGUGGGGUAAAAGCCUACCAAGGCGACGAUCAGUAGCUGGUCUGAGAGGACGAUCAGCCACACUGGGACUGAGACACGGCCCAGACUCCUACGGGAGGCAGCAGUGGGGAAUUUUGGACAAUGGGGGCAACCCUGAUCCAGCAAUGCCGCGUGUGUGAAGAAGGCCUUCGGGUUGUAAAGCACUUUUGUCCGGAAAGAAAUGGCUCUGGUUAAUACCCGGGGUCGAUGACGGUACCGGAAGAAUAAGCACCGGCUAACUACGUGCCAGCAGCCGCAGU
rnacentral:rRNA from 1 species